AGCGAAAAUUAAAUUAAAUAAAUCAAAACAAAUAAAUCAAAACAAAAGUGAAAAUUAAUAAAACAAAGUUGUUAAUAGUACUGCUGAUUAAAUGUUUUAUCUAUAUUAUAUAAAUAAUUGUAUACAAAAUGAUCCAGAGUCAACUAAUUCAUCGAUCUAAAAAGUGACUUCAUCAUAUCCGAAGAAGUAUUUCCCUACGUAACUUGGCUCUAGCUGAUAGAGGAUUCUUUCAGGAUCUCUUUCCAGACACCGCUGGGUAAACAACAAUCAAUCUACGCCGGCUUUGAUCAAGCUGCCGAUAGUCUAACGUUGGCAAUCUCCUGGUAAUAAUUGGACUUCUGCAUGGCAUCGAGAAAGACACAAUCCAAUUGCGUUAGUUGGAAUACGGGUCUUAUCGGUAAUCCUAGUGGCAAAACAAAACGAAAUAAACUAGGGUUGUCGGUCAUUGAGACAAAUUAGAGUCGUCAACAAUGCAUCAUGGUAAGAAAAUCUGAAUGUAGAGGACUUUGUUGCCAAUAUGGGAAGACACUUUCGAAUGGGAUUACUGCUCUCAAUAUCGUCAGUCCAGUCGCGACUUAAUAGUGCAGCUAGAAUGAGCUAUCCGUGGCAUGAUGGUUAGUGCGUUGGACUGUCAUGCUAGAGGUCUUGGGUUCGAUCCCUGCCUAUGCCAUCUAAAGUCUUUUCACGGGUACUGCCUCUUGCGAGGAAUUGACAAAUUCUCCAAGAGUAACUAUUGUCAUGAAAAA